rnacentral:lncRNA from 1 species
AUAAUUGUUAGUUUUAUAGUAACUGCUGAUAGUUCGUCAACAACAGCUGCUACUAGGACCAAUCAUCAGGAACUACUGUAUCAUCAUAUUGUUCAUCUACUAGACUGUACUAGUAAUGAAUUAAUAGCUACAGCAAUGUAUACUCCUUGUAUUGUUAUUAAAGUAUAGGUCAGGAUUCCUUAUUAAAUGCUCAUAAUUAUUCAAACUUUCUGACUGUAUGAGAAAACAUUGCUAGUAUAGCCUACACUAUGAUCAGUGAGUAAUUAAUUAUAAUUAAUUCCAGGGGGUCUAAUUCUGCCCUUUUUUUACCGACCCCUUGAAGUUUACUGUCAUGUGAAGUUACCAUUAUUCGUACAUUAAUUUUGUACAUUAUCAAUGAUACAUAAUGAAUGGUCCAUAGUAAUAUGUCAUCUCCAAUGGAAGAGACACACGUGUCAUAUAUGGUAUACACUAGUCAAUAGUGUCUGCUGGAGUAGAGGAGGAGGUGUCUGUUAUAAGGAGUGUAUCUGUUAAUAGUAUCACAUUGUACUAAUAAUAGUGAUAAUAGUAUUUAAUAAUAAUUGUUUUUAAUAGUUGUUUGCCGCUCCCAAACUGUUUGACUCCGUCACUAGUAAUGUUAUCAUAUCUUCAAUGAGACACUGGAUAAUGGAUAUAUUAUAAUAAUUGUUAGUUUUAUAGUAACUGCUGGUAGUUCGUCAACAACAGCUGCUACUAGGACCAAUCAUCAGGAACUACUGUAUCAUCAUAUUGUUCAUCUACUAGACUGUACUAGUAAUCAAUCAAUAGCUACAGCAAUGUAUACACCUUGUCUUGUAUUGUUAUUAAAGUAAAGGUCAGGAUUCCUUAUUAAAUGCUCAUAUUUAUUUAAACUUUCUGACUGUAUGAUAAAAUAUUGCUAGUAUAGCCUACAUAAUGAUCAGUGAGUAAUUAAUUAUAAUUAUCCGAGGGGGUCUAAUUCUGCACUUUUUUACCGGCCCCUUGAAGUUUACUGUCAUGUGAAGUUACCAUUAUUCAUACAUUAAUUUUGUAUAUUAUCAAUGAUACAUAAUGAAUGGUCUGUAGUAAGUAUGUCAUCUCCAAUGGAAGAGAUACACAGUACAUAUAUGGUAUACUAUACUCAACAGUGUCUGCUGGAGUAGAGGAGGAAGUGUCUGUUAUAAGGAGUGUAUCUGUUAAUAGUAUCACAUUGUACUAAUAAUAGUGAUAAUAGUAUUUAAUAAUAAUUGUUUUUAAUAGUUGUUUGUGGUUCCCAAACUGUUUGACUCCUCCCACUACUGUCACUAGUAAUGUUAUCAUAUCUUCAAUGAGACACUGGAUAUAUUAUAAUAAU